rnacentral:rRNA from 1 species
AUUGAACGCUGUCGGCAGGCCUAACACAUGCAAGUCGAGCGGAGCGGCGGACGCGUUAGUAUUGCCUAGGAAUCUGCCUGGUAGAGGGGGAUAACGUCCGGAACCGGGCGCUAAUACCGCAUCCUCUCAGAUGAGCCUAGGUCGGAUUAGCUAGUUGGUGGGGUAAAGGCCUAUCAGGGCGACGAUCCGUAACUGGUCUGAGAGGAUGAUCAGUAACACUGGAACGGAGACACGGUCCAGACUCCUACGGGAGGGAGCAGGGGGGAAUAUUGGACAAUGGGCGAAAGCCUGAUCCAGCCAUGCCGCGUGUGUGAAGAAGGUCUUCGGAUUGUAAAGCACUUUAAGUUGGGAGGCGUUACCAACAGAAUAAGCACCGGCUAACUUCGUGCCAGCAGCCGCGGUAAUUC